rnacentral:rRNA from 1 species
GACGAACGCUGGCGGCGUGCCUAAUACAUGCAAGUUGAGCGAUGAAGAUUGGUGCUUGCACCAAUUUGAAGAGCAGCGAACGGGUGAGUAACGCGUGGGGAAUCUGCCUUUGAGCGGGGGACAACAUUUGGAAACGAAUGCUAAUACCGCAUAACAACUUUAAACAUAAGUUUUAAGUUUGAAAGAUGCAAUUGCAUCACUCAAAGAUGAUCCCGCGUUGUAUUAGCUAGUUGGGGAGGUAAAGGCUCACCAAGGCGAUGAUACAUAGCCGACCUGAGAGGGUGAUCGGCCACAUUGGGACUGAGACACGGCCCAAACUCCUACGGGAGGCAGCAGUAGGGAAUCUUCGGCAAUGGACGAAAGUCUGACCGAGCAACGCCGCGUGAGUGAAGAAGGUUUUCGGAUCGUAAAACUCUGUUGGUAGAGAAGAACGUUGGUGAGAGUGGAAAGCUCAUCAAGUGACGGUAACUACCCAGAAAGGGACGGCUAACUACGU